GACGCUGUGGCUCAAGUGGUAGAGCGCUAGCCUUGCAUGCAUGAGGCCCUGGGUUCAAUUCCUCAGCAUCA
rnacentral:tRNA from 1 species